rnacentral:rRNA from 1 species
AGUGAACGCUGGCGGUAGGCCUAACACAUGCAAGUCGAACGGCAGCACAGUAAGAGCUUGCUCUUACGGGUGGCGAGUGGCGGACGGGUGAGGAAUACAUCGGAAUCUACUUUUUCGUGGGGGAUAACGUAGGGAAACUUACGCUAAUACCGCAUACGACCUACGGGGGAAAGCAGGGGAUCUUCGGACCUUGCGCGAAUGAAUGAGCCGAUGUCGGAUUAGCUAGUUGGCGGGGUAAAGGCCCACCAAGGCGACGAUCCGUAGCCGGUCGGAGAGGAUGGUCAGCCACACUGGAACUGAGACACGGACCAGACUCCUACGGGAGGCAGCAGUGGGGAAUGUUGGACAACGGGCGCAAGCCUGAUCCAGCCAUACCGCGUGGGUGAAGAAGGCCUUCGGGUUGUAAAGCCCUUUUGUUGGGAAAGAAAAGCAGCAGGUUAAUACCCCGCUGUUCUGACGGUACCCAAAGAAUAAGCACCGGCUAACUUCGUG